UAAUAAGUGUUUUAUGGCACUUUUUAAAUCCAUAUCCACCUUGUGUGCAAUGUCAGUCGAUUUCUUUUCGUCAAUGAAAAGGAUCGACCAAACAUCAACCUUAUUCUAAUUGAACUCUUUGUCUGAAAAAUAUUAUGAAUAAACAAUUCAAAAUA
rnacentral:misc_RNA from 1 species